UACGAAGGUGGCAAGCGUUACUCGGAAUUACUAGGCGUAAAGGGCAGGUAGGUGGUUCGAUAAGUCUGUUGUGGAAGCUCCCGGCCUAACUGGGAGAGGUCAACAGAAACUAUCGGACUUGAGUAUAGGAGAGGGUACUGGAAUUCCCGGUGUAGCGGUGAAAUGCGCAGAGAUCGGGAGGAACACCAAUGGCGAAAGCAGGUACCUGGACUAUUACUGACACUCAGCUGCGAAAGCUAGGGGAGCAAACAGG
rnacentral:rRNA from 1 species